CAAUAGCGUAUAUUAAAGUUGUUGCAGUUAAAAAGCUCGUAGUUGGAUUUGUGGCGUACGGUGUGUUCCGGGCACUUGUUGUCUGAGUAACCUGCUGUUGCCAUCCUUGGGUGGAACCUGUGUGGCAUUAGGUUGUCGUGCAGGGGAUGCCCAUCAUUUACUGUGAAAAAAUUAGAGUGUUCAAAGCAGGCUUAUGCCGUUAAAUAUAUUAGCAUGGAAUAAUGAGAUAGGACUUUUUUGCUAUUUUGUUGGUUUGCGCAAAGAGGUAAUGAUUAAUAGGGACAGUUGGGGGUAUUCGUAUUCCAUUGUCAGAGGUGAAAUUCUUGGAUUUUUGGAAGACGAACUACUGCGAAAGCAUUUACCAAGGAUGUUUUCAUUAA
rnacentral:rRNA from 1 species